UACAGAGGGUGCAAGCGUUAUUCGGAAUUAUUGGGCGUAAAGGGCGCGUAGGCGGCUUUUCAAGUGACGGGUGAAAUCCCUCGGCUUAACCGAGGAACUGCCUGUCAGACUGGAAGGCUUGAGACCGGGAGAGGUGAGUGGAAUUCCCAGUGUAGCGGUGAAAUGCGUAGAUAUUGGGAGGAACACCAGUGGCGAAGGCGGCUCACUGGACCGGAACUGACGCUGAGGCGCGAAAGCGUGGGGAGCAAACAGG
rnacentral:rRNA from 1 species